GCCGAGCCAAAAUGCUCGGCCGGGUUUGGCGACCCGAAUACACAAAGGCGCACAAGCGCCCUUGCCAUGGCUGGCGCUUUUUUU
rnacentral:sRNA from 1 species